UAGUCCACGCCCUAAACGAUGUUAACUGGAUGUUUGUCACGUAGUGAUGAGCAUCUGAGGGAAACCAUUAAGUUAACCACCUGGGGAGUACGUUCGCAAGAAUGAAACUCAAAGGAAUUGACGGGGGCCCGCACAAGCGGUGGAGCAUGUGGAUUAAUUCGAUGAUACGCGAGGAACCUUACCAGGGCUUAAAUGGUUUUUGACCGUCGCCGAAAGGUGUCUUUCUUUUAGACAAUUACCAAGGUGCUGCAUGGCCGUCGUCAGCUCGUGCCGUGAGGUGUUGGGUUAAGUCCCGCAACGAGCGCAACCCCUUUCUCUAGUUGCCAGCAUGUUAUGGUGGGGACUCUAGAGAUACUGCCUACGUAAGUAGUGAGGAAGGUAGGGACGACGUCAAGUCAUCAUGGCCCUUACGUCCUGGGCUUCACACGUGCUACAAUGGAUGGUACAAAGAGCAGCCACUCAGCGAUGUGGAGCCAAUCCCAGAAAGCCGGUCUCAGUUCGGAUCGGAGU
rnacentral:rRNA from 1 species